ACUCAAAGGAAUUGACGGGGGCCCGCACAAGCGGCGGAGCAUGCGGAUUAAUUCGAUGCAACGCGAAGAACCUUACCAAGGCUUGACAUAAGGCGAAAACUGGCAGAGAUGUCAGGUCCGCAAGGGCGCCUUACAGGUGGUGCAUGGUUGUCGUCAGCUCGUGUCGUGAGAUGUUGGGUUAAGUCCCGCAACGAGCGCAACCCUCGUUCUAUGUUGCCAGCACAUAAUGGUGGGGACUCAUAGGAGACUGCCGGGGUCAACUCGGAGGAAGGUGGGGAUGACGUCAAAUCAUCAUGCCCCUUAUGUCUUGGGCUUCACGCAUGCUACAAUGGCCAGUACAAAGGGCUGCGAGACCGUAAGGUGGAGCGAAUCCCAAAAAGCUGGUCUCAGUUCGGAUUGGGGUCUGCAACUCGACCCCAUGAAGUCGGAGUCGCUAGUAAUCGCAGAUCAGCAACGCUGCGGUGAAUACGUUCCCGGGCCUUGUACACACCGCCCGU
rnacentral:rRNA from 1 species